rnacentral:rRNA from 1 species
AAUACAUUAGCAUGGGAUAAUGGAAUAGGACCCUGUCCUCCUAUUUUCAGUUGGUUUUGGCAGCGCGAGGACUAGGGUAAUGAUUAAUAGGGAUAGUUGGGGGCAUUAAUAUUUAAUUGUCAGAGGUGAAAUUCUUGGAUUUAUGAAAGAUUAACUUCUGCGAAAGCAUCUGCCAAGGAUGUUUUCAUUAAUCAAGAACGAAAGUUAGGGGAUCGAAGACGAUCAGAUACCGUCGUAGUCUUAACCAUAAACGAUGCCGACCAGCGAUUAGGAGACGUUGAAUACAAAACACCACCAUCGGUGCGGUCGUCCUUGGCGUCUCGGUUUCGGCCGGGGCGCGGGGAUGGCUUAGCCCGGUGGCACCGGUGAAUGACUCCCCUAGCAGCUUGUGAGAAAUCAUAAGUCUUUGGGUUCCGGGGGGAGUAUGGUCGCAAGGCUGAAACUUAAAGGAAUUGACGGAAGGGCACCACCAGGAGUGGAGCCUGCGGCUUAAUUUGACUCAACACGGGGAAAC